CAGUUGUCACCUGAUCCGAGUCUCCAGAGUGUCCUUCUCAAUCUCUGGUGAGUGGUGGCACAAGGCUCCGCCAGGCGGAGGGCACCCAGUGGAAAAUUCCCAGCUCCAGUCACCUUAACGAAGAGAGGCACUCUCGCCUCUCCUGUGGCUCGGAGGUUUCCAGGGAGAAACGGGAGGAGGAAAGCAAAUGCUUCAGGCCGCUGCCUCGGCCUGGACAGUGGUGCGUGUGACCGGAGCUGGGAGGAGACGGGUGACCCACAUAGCCCUGGUCCGAAGGCAUAAGCAUCAAAAAUCGCAGAACGGAGUCGGCCCACGAGCGCCUGAGCUUUCUCCGUGGAAAACGUGCUCCUAUUUAUGAUGCUGACACAGCCAACUCGGCUGCCCCGGCUUUCACUUAUUCAUUCAACAACCGUCUCGUAAGCGUCUGCCACGUGCUGGCCGUGGACUAGCUGGGCAGGGUAUGUCUAGAAACAGCUCUGGCAAACCGGUGGAGGGCUGAGAACCACUCUGUGCCGUGACCUGAAGUCCCACGCAAGGAGCAACGGUGAACCCCAGCUCAUUUGGGUGAGAUGAAAAUGUGAGGAAGAAGGUUCAACAGACAGUAAUCAAAGUGACAUAGUGACCGAUGAGAAAAAGAUUCUGACUGGAAAAACACCGUUCUAAUAAUGUGCUCCGGGUCAUAGCAACUAAUUAAGAAAAGGGCAGAAAAAGACAUUCAAGCGAUGCAGAAGGCCGUUCACAAGUGCUCGGACACAAUUCAUUUACUAAAAAGGCUUUAGUAGCACAAAAACGUUUCUAAGCUAUGGUUCCCGGGGCAGCUGGAACAAGGCUCUUUUCAUAAACUUGGGCUAAUUUCGGCACAGAGCAGCCCCAAUCCGAAUUCUUCCUCUGGGCCACAGCCUCCUUUGGACACACAGACGGUGCCAUGCGAUCAGGCCAACACCGCACACGGGCACCUGGGUCGGUGGAUGGUUUCCCCGCAGUAUGAUCAAUAAUGCUUCCUAAAAUAGGUCUCAGAAGCUGAGCCUAAAAUAGUUUCAAUUUCUCCCAGUUCCUUCUUGUUUCAAUUCACAGGGUGGUCUCUGGGAACUAGAGCUGAUGGUUUUCUCUGAAGUUGACAAAUUGGUAUUUCGCCUGGAAGCCGCCACGGGCUCGCUUUGGGCCAGCCUUCAGGAGCCCCAGUGUUUGGGGGUUCGCCCCAUCAAGGUGACUCUGAUCCCCUGUCCUUCCCUGAACCUUUUUUUGAGCCUCAACAGUGAAUCCUUUGCACAAAGUGGCAGAGUUCCUGACAGAGAAAAAUGACUAGUACCUGCCUUUGCCCUCAGAAGCUACCAGCUUGGCCUCGAGGGAAGAGAAUAAAAGCAGCGGAGACAGAUGGCUUGCUGAAGCCCGCGUGGUGGGGUGGCCACACUGGGAAGUCAAGACACAAUGGGGAGAGCUGGGAGACGGCUGCCAGCAGCUCAGCUCUAGAGGCCAGAGAGUUUCCGCCUCUUGUUCGCCAAACAAGCGCCCCUGAGGUACUUCAGGGCCUUGUGUCUCCUUCCAGCUCAUUCCUGGCAUGCCUCUCUGGGCCAAACAAUGGAAUGGGCAUCAGCCCAAAACCGCUUCAGAAUCAUGAUAGAUUGCAUCUACUGUCAGAAAAAACAAAAUAAAGGAACAAAUUGUUA